UUCAGUUGAAAGAUUAAUUUUAUUUGAUUAGUUAAAGUGAAGAUCUAGUAAACCAAAUAUUUGGACUCAUUCACUCUGUCAAUGCAAGAGUUUCUGUUUGAAAGAAAUUUGAUUAUAUUUAGGAGGAACUAGAUCAACAGAUGGUUAGCUAGAGAGUUUUUCACAGUUAAAUUUUGAAAUUUAAACAUGGCUAAGUUUGACACCUUCUCAAACAAUUUUGAUGAGGUCAUUUGAUCUAUUCUAGCAAGGCAGUAUUGUUGGACAUAAUCAUUUUUAAUUUAUGUUUGAGAAACAUUCAACUUGUAUUUUAUUUAUUAUUGUAUCUGGCUGAAAACGAUACUGAUUGAGUUGUUCACAUUGGUGCUAUAUUUACAUGUUGUUAAGGAAGUAUUAUAAAAAGGAAAUCAACAGCUACAAGGCAUCAUGAGAAGAGUUCCUUAACAUAAUAAUAAUAUUCCUCUAAUGAAGUAUUUUAUUCAGGCUACCUGAAGGGGCCAUCAUUUGCAUACAGUGGUCUCGGCUGUCUGUCUAUUGUAGUGUAAUACCCAUGUGGAAAAUGGAAAUUACCACGUGGCAUGACGACUUUAAAAGUCAAUCCCAAACAUGACUUGGGAGCCUCCUAGGCCUUAGGUGUUUCCGAAAACAAACAAAUAACAACAACAAAAAACCUCCCAUUGUCUCAUGAAUAAGAAGUUGAGAGUUUCCAAGAAGAUUGUUUUGUAAUCCACGUACUUAAAUACAGAUGAGGCGAAAGUAAGUUUACAGUUGUUCUUAUGGAAAAUAAUACAAUACUUAAUACAUAAUACCACCAGAAUAAACUCUGUUUCAUGUACUCAUGAGUGUAAACCUACUUUUGCCCCACUCUGUAUUCUUACUCCCUGGAGUUGCUUCUCAUAUUCCCACUGUUUUGAGAACAAGGGUCCUGGUAAAAUACAAGGAUGGAAGGAAGGCUGAGGAAAAGUAGGUACACAGAUUUGAGGACAAUGAAUACAUUUAAUGUAUUUAUUUGCUUUUUCUUUUAAAAUGAAGUUUUUGAAUUACGAAUUUUUACAGAUGCCUAAACCUGAUUGCUCUUCUUUGCAAAUUGCUUUUAAAGGUGUGAGCCGGUGUUGUAGGAAUCACGGGUUCUCAGCAGAGGAGCUGUGCAAUCUUUGGCAAUUUUCUUGAUCCUACUUAGCUUCAGGAGGAAAAUGGAUCUAUUAAUCAUGGCUUCUCUUACUGCCUCAGGGUAUUAAUCAAAGGAGGCUGUGUGGAAGCAUUUUGCAAACACUAAAAUGGGGCUGCUAUUUCCCGGUCACACUUGGAUGUCUGAUUGUCAGCUUUAUGUCUCAGAAAGUAUUCCCCACAAUUCAGAUCCUGAUGCUGAUUAAGGUGCGAAGGAGGACAUGAUUGUUGUCUAUAGAAGCUUUAAUAUCAAUCUCAUCUGUCAACUUUAAAAUAUAUUGAAGGACAAUGAAAGACAAGACAGCAGAGCUUCUUUUUAGAGAGAUCUGAGGAGAUCCUGAACACUGCCAACUUAGUAGGAUAGCUUAAGUGAGCGUGUGGGAAAAAAUCCUCCCAUAGUAAAAGAAGCUUCAAAAGAGGACUAUAUUAGAGAGGUUUACAGACGAGGAUGUAAGCAAGAAAGUACUGAUUCUGACUGAGUGUGACUCCUAACAGAGUUGACAGUUUUGAACCACGCCUAGGCUUGCAAGCGGUAAAAGAAAGAGCAGAGGGAUCCAGCAAUAAUUUCUUCAGUCUACUUUCGAGGAAUAAGAGUCCUGCAAGGAGAAACUGUGCUUCAAAGCUCAUUAGCAGGAUAAAAGGUAAUUUUCAUCUUGAUAAGAGUAAGCAGCCAGUUUAAAACUCACCUGAAGGAGCAGAAGCAGGAAAGCUCUGCCUCUAUGAAGCAUGUCAGAGCAGUUUUGUAGCCUAAAUUAAGGUAAGUGGUGACAAAACCUAUUCAAACAUUCCAGCGUCUAUCUAACUUGAUUCAGUGUGUGCAGUACGCCUCAACUCAAUGGGAUGCAGAGCCAUACAGCAAUAUUCAGCAAUGUUCGAGGCCAUCUUUCUUUAAAUCCUGAUUCUAAUAUUUCUUUUGGAAACAGAUACCUAAUUAAUUCUUCUUUGUUAACUCAGUUAUAUCUUAACAACAAAAAAAAUCUUCUAAAGGAGACAUGUAAUAGUUGGGAAGCUUCAGAAGCUGUAAAGAGAAGGUGUUGCAUAAUCAAGAUAAGGUCAAUGCUGCCCUAGAUAGCCUACUGCCACCUAGUGGUACAUAAAUGAAUUUGUAGGCAUGGUUCAGGUACAGAGAGCAGUAUCUAAUUAAUUAAAUAUAAUUUCAGCAGCAGCAACCAUUCUUCCAGAUAUCAUCAUUAAAUAUAAAAGAAAUUUUUUUUACCAGUGACUGAAAGUAGCAAGUUUCACCUUCUUAUUUAUUCAAGAAAGGACAACCCCUCACUUCACAACCUUCCAUUAUUCUUAAGUCUAUACACACUCCAUUGCCCUUCUAAUUGCAUAUAGAGAGUUUAUUUUAGAAAAGAAAUAGAAAGCAACGAUAAUCUCCUAGGCUUGUAAAUUUAUUUGGCGAUUACAAAGGUACUUACUGCCAAAUGGGCCAUUAGGUAGACAAACAGAUACUUCUUAAAAUAUUUUAUAAUAUAAAAAUGGAUUUUAUGGAUUUUUCCAUUUCCUCAAAUGCAUAACAUAAUUUCAACACUUCACAUCCUUGUAAUUACUGAAGAUUUUUAAGGGUGGCUAGUGAAUAUCUUCAUAGCUUUCUCUCCUUCACUGAUUCUUUGUUUUUAACACAUCUGUAAACACAUAUUUGAUAUUUUAUGUUCUUCAUAUUCAGAUUUCAUCUUAUUUUCAUUGUGACUUUAAUUUGUGGAUGUGAAUAAUUACACAGUUUAUUUUCUAUCUCAAAGAGAAAAAAAGUGCUUGCAGCCAUAGUCUAUGAACUAUAUAUAGGAAGGCAUGUUACUCCAUCAGCAGGUCAGAUAGGAAGAUGGUCCUCUUCGGAAACACAUUCAAGCACUAUGUUCCUGGGAAAUAAGAAAAUAAAGUCAUAGCUAGUUAACCCUGGCAUUUUCUUGCAUUUCUAUUAUGAACUUGAGGAAGAAUAUAGUAUUUUACUACCUGUAAAACGAGUACUAUCAACUUGAGGGGCUUGAGAAGCAUUAUUUAUCAUAUUUACUCCUCCCAAGGGUCUGUUAGAACCUCUGAGUGAGUGAGUGACUAGUGGAUUGUGUGUGUCAAGAACCCCCCAACCCCAUCCGAAGGUAUUUCACCUCUACUCAGACCUCCAUAUCCAGCCCAAACACUGGAGAGCAAAAGAAUCUAGAGGGAAUAUUAAUACUUUUAUCAAUUUGGUUUAAAAAUUUAUCCAAAAUUAGAAUGUUUUACAUUUCAUUCUGUUUUGUUAAGUGAAACUAUCAUUAAGUAAUUUUAAAACAUGCAUAAAAACAAUCCCUAUUUUAUAGUCACUUAUACCUCUUUCUACCUCUUUAUUAUUUAUCUGGUUUUAUGCCUAGAGAUGUCUAGGCUGAUGUUCACUUAUGGUUAGUAAGAAAACCUUCUGGCUUGUUGGAUUUAAAAUCAUUAUUUCCUUGUGUUUUGGCUUGAAUUUCACUUAAAAAUCAUGUAUCAUUUGUAAAAUUAAUUUUUUAAAAUAAAAAUAAAAUCUGAUGUUUUAACGUUA